rnacentral:tRNA from 1 species
GCACUUGCUGUUCGCAACUGGCAUUGAUGAACGUGAGACGGUCUUCGGAACCGAGGGUUGGGAGUUCGAAUCUCUCCGGGUGCA